GAGGAUGGACUGUGUCCUCGACUCCUGGCUGGCUAAGAUGGUGCCUGCUGGUGAUGUGAUCUGUAGAGUUGCCCUGGCAGCGGCCCCUCAGGGUGAGCUUCAGAGAGAACGCUUUAGAGAUGUGCCACAUUUCCUGGCUUUGAUGCUCUCAGCUGUCCUCUGGAACAACAGAGAAAGUAGAUGAGUUUGGAUCAAGAAGUAGAAUUUGGACUGGACCAAUGAGUGGAGGCUCCCAGGCAACAGAUUUAGGGCAACAAAUGGCUCCUUUGCUAAGGCCACCCUGGACAACAUUAGUGGUUUAAAAAAAAAAAAAGAGAGGAGGAUGCAGCUUAGUGAGAGGAUGCUUGCUAAUGUUUAUAAGGUUCUAGGUUCAAUCCCAGGACCACCAAAAACCCAAAAGUAAAACCGCUCCUUAGAGUGGGCUCUGUGGGCCCACUGAGCUGCUGCCGGGGUGAGCUAGGUGGCUUUCAAGGUACCUGUGACCAUGAAUUAAUGUGGCCCUGGACUGUGGCCUUGGCAGCAUAUACUUAUCUGAACAUGCUAUAUUGGAGGGACACAUACAAUAGUUUUAUUAGCAUCCUUGUGUUGAGGAAUAGAGCCAGCGUAUCAAUAUUCUCACUGUGAGUUCAAGGCUGGCCUAGUCUACAUAGCAAAUUCCAGGACAGCCGGAGCUACAUGAUAGAGAGACUGUGUCUUGAAAAAUAACAGCAAAGAGAAAGGUGUCCUUUCUCGUUAUCCUGCCUUGCCUCCUCGCCCUCUGCCUAGCCAGAGAGAUGAAACACACCUCUCUUUUCCUGUUUGCCUCUGGGAUCAACUCUUUGUUUUCCACCAUGCAAAGGAAAGCUGUGUCAGCACUCUGCCUUGCUGACCCGGAUUUCCAUCUGCUGGGACAAAGAGAUGCAGGAAAAAAAAAAUUCUUUUAAGCCUGAAAUUUCCAGGAAUAUAUCAUAGCAAAGGUUGACUGCCCAUGAGUCUUCUGGUGCCCUAUAGAAGCUUUGCUUAGCCUCAUCAUUGUUUGGGUGCCUGGCACCAUCACCCCACUAACUCAGGAUGCAGAGCAGGUGUGACUCAGUCCUGCUCUUUGGUGUCCUUCAGGGAAGACAGAACCUCACAGAACAAAGGCUUACACAUACACACACAUAAAUGAUAAGAUGAAUCUUAAAAAUAAAUUGUUCUUCAAAGCAUAAUAUCUCUGAGAGCCAGAUACAUGGGUGCCUUAGGAAGCCUGCAUGAAGAGGCCCCCUUGUGCCAGCAGACCUCCGGAGGCCCGCAUCGCCUGCAGGAAUCAAUCCCCUGUGAUGUGUUCUUAUCCCACCGCGCCCUGCUGCCUGAGCCUCCCCAGCAGGGAGCACACAGGAGGAUUCUUAGCCUUGACCUUGGUGGCUGUGUUUGCUUGCUAGCUCUUCUGCACUUGCUCAUAAUUAAGACGUGCUAGGAGAUCACCUCAGAUUUUCAGUUUUGUUCGCUGAAGGAAGCUGGCAGUUUUCCAGCUGGUUUUCUUUUCGCGGGUUUGUGGUCUAAUGAGAGCGGCAUUCUGGACGUGAGCCAAGCAUCCCUCUUUCACAGGAUCUUUGUCCUCCCAGGAGCAGGUGAGACGAAGCUUCCAGCCUGUACAUAAUUCACCUCCCUUCGUUCUUCCUCCAUUCCAGGUUAGGUGAUAGCACAGCUUUUGUUGGCUGCCCUUCAUAUAAUAGAGAAACAUAGCAGUGGUCCUCCUCUGAGAAUCCCACACCCUUGCUCUCAGGUGUUUUACGUUCUUCCCAAGCAACUUUCAUUGCUUAAGAAAUUCAACUGUUUCAUUAGAGAGAGAGGAGACAGAGAGAGAGAGAGAGAGAGAGAGAGAGAGAGAGAGAAAGAGAAAGAGAGAAAGAGAGGAAAGAGCAGGAUGCCUCUGUGGGUAAAGUACAUGCCUGCAAGCGCUGUGGUCUGGGUUUGAUCCAAGGGACCACAGUAGGAGGAGAGAUCUGCCCCCCAAAAGUUGCCUUCUGACAUCUAUAUGUAUACUAUGACAUGCAUGUUCUUGCACCAAUAUCUCCACACACACACACACAAAUAUAUAAUAUAAUAUAUAUAAUGUGUAUAUAUAGUAUGUGUGUAUUUAUGAUUAUAUAUAUGUGAUUGUAUACAUAUAUAUUUGUGUAUGUGUGUAUAUGAUUAUAUAUCAUUUUUAAAAAUCAAAUAAAUAUAUAAGAUGACAGUAGGAACAUGUUGGGCUGGGGGUAUAGCUUGGUUUGUAGAGCCCUUGCCUAGAAUGUUCAAGGCCUGAGGUUCAGUCCCCAGAACCACAUAAUCCUGUCUUAGUAGUAAAUACCUGAGCACCUGGGAGGUGGAGGCAGGAGGAUCAGAAUUCAAUGCCAUUCUUGGCUACAUAGUGAGUUGGAGUCCAACCAGCCUGCAAUACAAGAGAUCCUGUCUCAAAAACAUUUUUUUUUUCUAGUUGAAACAUAUACUUCCCCCAUCUCUUUUUCUUCCUUUUCUGUUUAGUACUAGACAUUGAGCCCAGGGCCUGGAACGUGCCAAACACGUAUUGUACCACUAACCACACCCUGAGCUCCAACAGAAGUCUGUUUGCUGGGGAACUUCCAAAUGGAAAGAAAUACAUAGGCAUUUUUCCUUCUGAAAAACCAGAACCACUUAAAAAUGUCUACAUUGCCUCUGAGCUUGUUCUCAAAUGUCACUUCCCUAGUGGGACAUAGCUAGGUUAUACAAGCGCUCAGCAGAACUUUGCCCCUUGUGAGAUCAGACACUGAAACACUCUCCAUACUUAUCAAUCAUCUCCCACUGUGUACACGGUUGGCGUUUUGUUUGUUGUUUGCUUUCUGUGAAUUUAGCAGUAGACAGACUUGGUAAGCCUUGUAAGUCGACUCACUGGGAAUCUACCUUUUCUGCUUGGCUCAUUUCACUUAGUGUAAUGUCCUCUUGGUUGUAGCUUGUGUCUGAAUUUCCUUCCCUUUUCAGACUGAAUACAUUAAUACCUUCUAUACACAGUCUAGAGUUUGCUUAUUCAUUUAUCCAUUGAUGGGCAUUUGUAUUGCUUCCAUUUCUUGGCUGUUGUGAAUUGUGGUGCUAUGAGCACAGGUGUGUAACUAUCUCUGCGAGGACUAUUUUUGGUGGCUCAGCUGCCUGCUACUUUGUUAACUUGGAUGAUGAUGAUGAUGAUGGUGAUGGGAAAUCUUGCCAUGUACCUCAGGCUGACCUACAACUCAUAGUCCUCCUGCCUCAGCUGCCCGAGCAAUGGGCUUACAGAUGUGUACCCCAUGUCCAGUUAGCAGAUAUUAACCGAUGAGGAAUUCAGCAAUAGAACCCAUCAGACUAGCCUCACUUAGUAAUAUUUCCACAUUGUCAUAGGCUCAUAUGCAUAAAGGAUGGGGUCCCUGUUUAUGAGCGAGGAGAUGGAAGGGACUGGAUUCAUACAUGGGCAGAUGUCUCUGACUGAUGGUAUGAAACUCUGCUGCAAGGGAAGCUGCAAAGUGAUCAUAAAACUUGAUCACUCUAGGUUCAUAGGACAAAAAAACUUUCCUACCUGGGGCA
rnacentral:lncRNA from 1 species